rnacentral:rRNA from 4 species
GACCGCGACCCCAGGUCAGGCGGGACUACCCGCUGAGU